CAACGCCGCGUGGAGGAUGAAGUACUUCGGUACGUAAACUCCCUUCGAUCGGGACGAUAAUGACGGUACCGGAAGAAGAAGCCCCGGCUAACUUCGUGCCAG
rnacentral:rRNA from 1 species